rnacentral:rRNA from 1 species
ACUUUGAUUCUGGCUCGGGACGAACGCUGGCGGCGCGCCUAACACAUGCAAGUCGAGCGGGAGGCUUUUUAAGGAUUCUUCGGAUGAAUUAAAAAGUGGAGAGCGGCGGACGGGUGAGUAACGCGUGAGAAACCUGCCCUAUACAGGGGGAUAGCCAUUGGAAACGAUGAUUAAUACCCCAUAUGACCACAGUAUCGCAUGAUACAGCGGUGAAAACUCCGGUGGUAUAGGAUGGUCUCGCGUCUGAUUAGCUAGUUGGUGGGGUAACGGCCUACCAAGGCGACGAUCAGUAGCCGGCCUGAGAGGGUGACCGGCCACACUGGAACUGAGACACGGUCCAGACUCCUACGGGAGGCAGCAGUGGGGAAUAUUGCACAAUGGGCGAAAGCCUGAUGCAGCGACGCCGCGUGAACGAUGAAGGCUUUCGAGUCGUAAAGUUCUGUUCUUGGGGAAGAUAACGACGGUACCCAAGGAGAAAGCACCGGCUAAAUACGUGCCAGCAGCCGCGGUA